ACAUUCCGAGAUCGCAAGCCGAAGCGAGUUAAAAGGGAUUUUAUGCGCUUGUAGAGGAACAAGCAUUGAUAAAAAACGAUGCCUAUCAAGUACUUUCCCAAGCUGAGCGUUGUUUCGAGGUGGGAGCGUCGGCAAAAGCCAAAUUUCCCUGCCAAUUCAGCUGUUGGUGUCACAGUUAGCCCAAGUUUGAAAGGUCAAUAACCUGUGAAGUGUUGUAUCUUCUUGGCGCUCUCAGCGCUCCGGAUUGUAUUAUCCCCAAAAUUUUAUUUCAGAUUCUAGGCAAGUAAGUGACUGUCUUUUCAGGAAAAAUGACCAUUUUUGAUAGAGCAUUGUACCAGAUGCGACUUUUAAGGCCUCAAUUUGUCGGUUUGACGAUCGUGCAAAAUGAUGGAUGCGAGGCUAUAUUUGAGAAAA